UCGACACCAUAUGUAGAGGCAG
rnacentral:miRNA from 1 species